rnacentral:rRNA from 1 species
CGCGUAGGCGGCCUUCUAAGUCGAACGUGAAAUCCCGGGCUCAACCCGGGAAUUGCGUCCGAUACUGGAGGGCUUGAAUCCGGGAGAGGGAUGCGGAAUUCCAGGUGUAGCGGUGAAAUGCGUAGAUAUCUGGAGGAACACCGGUGGCGAAGGCGGCAUCCUGGACCGGCAUUGACGCUGAGGCGCGAAAGCCAGGGGAGCAAACG